rnacentral:lncRNA from 1 species
AUGUUCAGCAAUCUUCUCAUGGAGCCCUGCACAGCUCUUCUGGCAUGCUCAAACCGUAUUGAGAGCUCCAUCCAGGAUGUCACCCACGCAGAAGGUUUCACACGUGAGCCACUGGCCCUAUCGGAUUGGCCGCCAAGGUUGGGGCUCCGUGCCAUGAUCUACCUCUCCGGUGCCAGGAGCCCGACGUCCACAGCCUGUGGUUUGAAUGGGCCCAGUUUCUCACUGAUGCUGUCCUUGCCUGGAACGCAGAACAGCGUCUUCUUCUAGCACCCAGCUCUUGGGUAAACUAGUCUCUACAUAGACUCCCCUUGCUGGAGGUUAAUAACAAACUGGAGUGAAUUGAGCAGAAAAAGAUCCUCAGCUCAAGAUCUCCGAGUUUUCUCUCCAUGAGGUAAAUCCUAAGCAAACCUGAGUCUGAGAACAUCAAUCUUCUGGAAAAUUCUAAGAAUCCAUCUUCCACCAAAGGAAACGAAAGACUCUGAUGACACCCUAUGGAAGGCCUCACCAUCCAGGGGGAGCAGAGAAGAUAUGUGACAGAUAAGGUUUUAGUGGGGGGAGGCAGGUUGGGGAGGACCGGUGGGAGAAGGGAAAUGGGAUUAUCAUGUAAAACAAUCCUGU